rnacentral:tRNA from 1 species
GGGUUGUGGCUCAGUGGUAGAGUGCUCACCUGGCAUGCAUGAGGCACUGGGUUCGAUCCUCAGAACCCA